CGCAGCCAAAUUUCAUUCUCUCAUUUUUUUUUUGGCUGCCUUGCCAUAGAACAGCAAAAUGGACUUUCUUUCCUUUGACAACGGAGUGAUCAAAAAUCCAUUCUACCGGAAAGACGUUGUUGACGGCGACGGCGGCUACAGCACUCAUCGCAAAUGGAAUCGACAACCGCGCGACGCUAUCAACAGCGCCACACCGGCAUACACGCGCGAUCUGCUGUCCGAAGACAAGACACCAUUCCAAUGCAACCCAGCAGCUGUGUGCUUCGCCGAUUACGAUGUCGGCAUAGAGCACAAGAUUGUUGUCGCCUUCACAAACACGGCGACAGUCCCCAAAACAUUCCGAGUGAUGCCCAUUCUGCCGAGGUACGCAAACGUGGUGAGCGUUGAGUACACUGUUCCACCAAGAAUAUCACCAGGUCUGUCGUGGAAUGUCACCGUCAAAUACCGACCUUGCGAUGUGAGUGAUAUUUCCACCGCCAUAUAUGUCAAGACUGAUGAGGGCUACUUUGCAGUACCGCUCACCUCCUCGAAGAAAGCGUUUGUCUUUUCUGUGGAGCCGAGGAGCGUAAGUUUUGGCACCGUGAUUGUGGGCGAAAAGCGCGCGAAGGUGAUUACGCUGCGAAAUAGUGGGGCAAUGCCGGGAACUGUGAUUGUCGGUGGUGAUUUCAAAUCUCUCCUUGAGCAAAAACACACCAAUCCUGUCGAUGGCAAACAAAUGAGCUGUUUCCGAAUUUCACCGCAGCAAUACAAAAUAGAGAUUCCAUCCUUCUCGAAGUCGCUGAUAGUUCUCAGCUUUGCCCCGCUGAAUCCGACGCAGAUCAACAGCGAAAUUACAUUCACAGAGAAGAACAGUUCUCAGCUACCUCAUGCCAUUUCAAUUACAGGCAGCAGCACUAACCUUCCAGUGUUUCUUACAACGGGAAAACUAGAAUUCGGGGCGUGCUUUUACGGCGAACGGUACUGGGAUGAAGUGAGCGUCGUUAAUAAAGCCAACAUUGCCGCGGUUGCAGAGUUUCAAGUUCCUCCUUCGUUGGUUGGCGCCUUGGCUGUCUCCCCGUCGCGUGUGUGUGUGCAGUCUGGUGAGGAAUACAGCGUGCGGGUUGUUUUUACGCCUUCGAAAGACCUGCCGAAAGAUUUCUCUUCGGUAAUCAAGUGCGUCGUACAGAAUCAAAUACUGCCUCUCACUUUGAACGUAGACGGCGUGCUAUCGCACCGCGCACCCUGCUUGCCGUCCACUGCCUUUGAUAUUGGCACGAUCCCGCUGCAAACGAUGAGAUCAGUACAGGUGCCUGUUACGAACGAAUCGAGUGUGAAACAGCUCGUUGGAUUCGACAAUCUUCCUCCUUGGGUCGUAGUUACCCCUGAGGUUUUGGCGCUCGUACCUUUUGAGACGGCGAGCUUCACCCUCAAGAUGGAGGCCCCGCAGGAGGGCCGUUUUUCGCACCGCCUGAAGCUCAUAAACGAGUUUGGUGACACGCAGCACAUUUCUGUUAGCGGACAGGGAGCGCGUCCUCCGUUAGCGCUGUCAGCGCGGACGCUGUUGCUUCCCCCCUGCAACAUUGGCCGCAGUGUUUUUGCAACGACAGUGCUUUCAAACACAAGUGGGAAACUGAUUCAGUUUAGAUUUUUUGUCCCGCGCUUUUUUUUCAAAGUGUCUCCUAACGCAGGUGUUUUGCAACCCGGCGAAAGUGUUGUGGUGGCUAUCUUUUUCCAUGCACCCAUGGAGUACGAGUACGUGGAGUCCCCGCAGCCGGCCGCUCCACCGCAUCGGGCGAGGCCGAAAAAAGACGUCUCGAUUGGAUUCGUCUUCGAUGCACCGCCACCGCAAAAGCAAUCUAUGUAUGAUGACUGGGAGUCUGGCAGCGAAAAGGAGCUAUGGAGCAGGCAUAAGCAGUUUCGAAUUCAGUGCUGCUUGAACGGCUUAGACGAUGAAUGCUGCUUUAUUGUGGUGAGGUGCUGUGCGGUGAGGCCAUCUGCUAGGAUCGAGGAGGCUGAAAAGGCACCAAGCACGCUACCAACAAAACAACAGAAGCCGACUGAAAGCGAUGCUCGCCGGGUGUCCGUAAAGGGCUUCGUUGUCGCAGAUAGAGAUGAAAAUGUUGCUAAGUCUCAAAGCUACAAGGGAGAGGUGUUCAUCGAGUUUGGGAAAGUGCCCAUUCAUCAUGCUUCUAUUCGUUCGUGCAAGGUGCAUAAUACUGGCGAUGCACCUUUCAUGAUUCGCGCUCCGCCGCUGAACCCGUUUUCUUCGUUUUCUAUUCUGGCUGUGGCAUUCGACGAGGUACCGCCGCACACCGAAGCAGAGAUACACUUCUCCUUUCACCCAGACGCGUACGGGAAAUUCAAUGAGCUAAUAAAGGUGGAGCUGGCUAUGCCCGAUGACACAGUCGCUUUUGUUUUUGUGAACAUGCAGGGGACAUGCAGCCCGACACAGUUGACCAUUACUCCAGCAGAAAGCGUUUCGCAACAGGACGCUUCCUCUAUUGUUUCUGUGGAGCAUCUGGCGUUUGACUGUACGCAGAAGAGCGAAUCCACGCGGAAGGGUUUGAGCUUCCACAACGUGGGCUCUUUCUCCCUUGAAAUCUUAAUUACCAGUUACACGGAGGAAGGUGAAAAUGCGCAUAACGGGAGCAAUGCUGUGCUUUUUGAUCCGAGCGACAUACUGCCCUUUCUGGUGCACCCGCGUGCAUUCACCCUCCAGCCGAACACGAAGCAGAUUGUGGAUGUUGUGUUUGCGCCCUCGGAUGCUGGGGUGUACUCGAAACGACUGAGCAUUGCUGCCAGCGGCGAAACUCGUGAACUCGCUCUCGAGGGUCGAAGUGUCAGUGGCGGCAUCUACUGCUUUGUGCCGAUCUCAGAUGUGAAAACGGGUAGAUCAACCGCAGUCUCCUUCGAAGGCGGGAUCGGUUGCCAGCCUGACUACCCUGUCUCACUGUCCUUUGCGGAGGAGGAAAGCAAAAUACUGAUACUCGGUAAUCUUCUCAAAGGCCUCAGUGUGGAAUACAGUGCGCAGAACUGGGAGCAGACGCGCCCUCUCGAAAUGUCACCGGAGUGGAGCGUGACACCGCUUUCGCAAGUUAUUGCAAGCGGAAAAGAAGCACGCCUCUCCGUGCAUCGCUCCUUUGCGGAGGAUGAGGAGGGUGAAGGUGUUUUGUGUGGCAUCAACUCGCUCUUUCCAUUCCGAUUCACAGUUGUUUUGAGGGGUGAGGGCGCAGAGCUGCUAGCUUACCGUACCCUUUACGUUGUCUGCACCGAUUAGCGUUGCCCGGCUCUACAAGUCUUUUAUUAGCCGAGUGAUGGUGUUGAGGUUGUUUGUAGCUGCCUCUGUGUUUCCUGCACGCUCCCAUACCGAUGGACGCUAAUAUGCGUUGCUGAUCUUGCAUCCGAAAUGGAAUGUAAACAUGUAGAUAGAGAUAGCGGUUACUUUUGUGUGUGCGUUUCAUUUUUAUUUUUUCUUUUGCGCGGUCGCGUUUCUUUCCCGCUUGUGUGCAAAGAGAAAGAAAGCAAUCAGAGCCUCCCAACUUCACCCUGAUAUUUGAACUGUGAUAACCUUGCAAGCCCCAAAGAGAAACAAAAAAGAGGGCAGCAGCUUCACCCGUGCAAGAGCACAAAAAAAAAAGGUCUGCAACAACGCCGGUAGUACAACGUUGCUCGGAUGGUGCCUAUUUCGCAUUGUAUGUGCUGGAUGAGGCCAGCGGAGGUGGCGAAGCAGCAUCAUCUGCUUUGCUCCCUCGAAGUAGAAGAAAAAGCCGGCGACCUGUGGACAGGAAGGAAAAUAAAGAAGCGAUCGUCGCUACUU
rnacentral:misc_RNA from 1 species